rnacentral:rRNA from 1 species
UACGGGGGGGGCGAGCGUUGUUCGGAAUUAUUGGGCGUAAAGGGCGCGUAGGCGGUGUGGUAAGUCGGGAGUGAAAUCUCUGGGCUUAACCCAGAGGCUGCUUCCGAAACUGCCGUGCUAGAGUGCGGGAGAGGCGAGUGGAAUUGCAGGUGUAGCGGUGAAAUGCGUAGAUAUCUGCAGGAACACCCGUGGCGAAGGCGGCUCGCUGGACCGCAACUGACGCUGAGGAACGAAAGCUAGGGGAGCAAACAGG